rnacentral:rRNA from 1 species
AGCGAACGCUGGCGGCAGGCUUAACACAUGCAAGUCGAGCGGGCCCUUCGGGGUCAGCGGCGGACGGGUGAGUAACGCGUGGGAACGUGCCUUCUGGUCUGGAAUAACCCUGGGAAACUAGGGCUAAUACCGGAUACGCCCUUUUGGGGAAAGGUUUACUGCCGGAAGAUCGGCCCGCGUCUGAUUAGCUAGUUGGUGGGGUAACGGCCUACCAAGGCGACGAUCAGUAGCUGGUCUGAGAGGAUGAUCAGCCACACUGGGACUGAGACACGGCCCAGACUCCUACGGGAGGCAGCAGUGGGGAAUAUUGGACAAUGGGCGCAAGCCUGAUCCAGCCAUGCCGCGUGAGUGAUGAAGGCCUUAGGGUUGUAAAGCUCUUUUAUCCGGGACGAUAAUGACGGUACCGGAGGAAUAAGCCCCGGCUAACUUCGUGCCAGCCGCCGCCGUAACAC